CCAGCAGCAAUGCCUCGGUCAUGGCUUGGGUGGUCUGGCACAUCAGGAGUGAUGAGGAGACAUUGGAAGGUCUGACCCAGCCCUAUGGCUAGAGCAGAGGGAGCUGCUAGAUGUCUGCGAGGAUGGAAGACAUUUAUUCCAUCCUUCAGGAAGCUUCUCUACCUUGAACUGACUGACAAAGGAAGGAAGAAGACACUUCUACCUGUAUUCCAAUACCCAAAUGUCACCCCUGUCUCUUAAUUGUAGGGGGUUUAACUGUACAGGCAGAAGGAAGCGCCACAAGUUUCAACUCCUUCUAUAUUUUGCAUUUGUUAAGGCUCAAGGGCAAUUGCCCUCUUCUCUCCAGUUCAUUUGCCAACAUCACAGCUAGGGAAGAGAAGGUGGAAAAGUGAAGAUGGGUCCAGAGUGCAUGCAUGGGUAUGAGUCUCCUGUAUAUUUCAAGCCCAGAAAACCCUGGUGCAUAAAGUCUCUCAUGCCUUUUAUCUCCAUGCCAGCCUGGGAUGUGGUUGGCACCUUCCAGGGGACAGAAGCAUCGAUAUGGGACUGAGCAACUGCUCGUGCACCUGCUGCCACCAGCCUGGUGGGCAAUGGAGCUGUUUGUUGGAAAGAUGGGACAAUGCAUAGGGUCAGAGUAAGCUAGAAAAGCAUACUGAAUGAUAAAGUCAUUUGUGUGUGGAUGCUUUGUAGAGCAUUCCUCUAUUUAAUUACAGAUAAAAUAAGGCUUAAUAUUAUUUAUUUAUGUCCAGGCUACAUGGUGGUUUUUGUUUCCUUUCAUACUGCCUCAAUUUUUCCGGAACUGAAGUGAGCGCCAGUGGGUUUGCUUUGCUCUGUGGCCCAGCAGGUGCUAGCUGCUGAGUGCACUGGAAACAUCCAGAGAGUGUUUAUGAUGUUGGCAAAGACAUUGCA
rnacentral:lncRNA from 12 species